AUUGAACUCUGGCGGCAGGCCUAACACAUGCAAGUCGAGCGAGCGGCGGACGGGUGAGUAAUGUCUGGGAAACUGCCUGCUGGAGGGGGAUAACUACUGGAAACGGUAGCUAAUACCGCAUACCAUCAGAUGUGCCCAGAUGGGAUUAGCUAGUAGGUGGGGUAACGGCUCACCUAGGCGACGAUCCCUAGCUGGUCUGAGAGGAGGACCAGCCACACUGGAACGGAGACACGGUCCAGACUCCUACGGGAGGCAGCAGUGGGGAAUAUUGCACAAUGGGCGCAAGCCUGAUGCAGCCAUGCCGCGUGUAUGAAGAAGGCCUUGGGGUUGUAAAGUACUUUCAGCGGGGAGGCGUUAACCGAAGAAGAAGCACCGGCUAACUCCGUGCCAGCAGCCGCGGUAAUAC
rnacentral:rRNA from 1 species